UUUGCAUAUUUGUGUGAACUAUUAAUUUACAAACUGUUGGGCACACUGUCAAUUUUUUAUCUCUAGGUGAACGGUUACAGCCUGUAGCUCUUUCUGUGUUGGCAUCGGUUGGCAUUUCCACUAAUAGCACCUGCUGUGGAAUGACAGGAAUGAUGUCGGCGCCACAACAUGCAGUACCCACACCCUCCUAAGAGACGAACCUCUCUGGACUACAAAAGCGUUGAGAAGUCGUAAAAAUCUGUUCGACGUUUCGCUACAGGUUUCUAGAGUGGCUGGAAAUCGUUGUGGUUAAGAUCGACUCCGUGACCUGAAAUAACGACUGGGUGUGACCUGAAUUCCACUGAGUUUAUCUAGCAAGUUGUGAAAGGUCUGUAACAUGGAUGGUAUGCGCUAUUAGAAACGAGUGAGGGCAAACGCUUCUACGUCGAGGUCAGAACCACAGUGCCGUGGUGAAAUGAGCUCGGGUGGGCUCUGGUUGCCAUGGUUUCCCAUCCACUCGUCCUGACCCAGGGCUUGGGUUCCAGUUCAAGGUCCGUGUGAAUGUGGAGAAUCAUCGCCUCCCCCCUCCUCCGGCAUUCCAAAGCCACUUGGGGGGAAACUCAACUGCAUUCCAGAAAGCGGCGGAGAUC